rnacentral:lncRNA from 1 species
UUUGACUAGUCCGCAGGAUUUCCAGGUGCUAUCCUGAGUCUAGGGAUGAGCGGUCCAACCGGGGGACGAAACUCCAAAGCUCCCACACCGGAACAUCCAACGCCAUGUGUAGCUCCCAAACUAUGUCCUACGCGCGCAGACUGGAUCAUCACACACCGGAACAUCCAACGCCAUGGUGAUGACCCUAAACUCUAUACAAAGUCUUUCCAUACGUCGGAACAUCCAACGCCGCAUAUGGAAAGUGUUUCACACGCCGGAACAUCCAACGCCGCGAGUGAGACUGGUAACUGGGGAAGGUACUUACAUAGUGUAAUCAUACAACUUCUCUCAAAAUCAAAUUCUUCCACAACACCCUCCAACGACCCAAGUAUCUCGUCUAUAGAGAAUAUAUAAAUAUACUUCCC